rnacentral:rRNA from 1 species
CCCUCGUCGUAUGUUAUAUGUGUCAUACGAGACUGCCGGUAAAAGCCGGAGGAAGGUGAGGAUGAUGUCAAGUCAGCAUGACCUUUAUAUCCAGGGCUACACACACGCUACAAUGGUCUGUACAAUGGGUAGCCAAGCCGCGAGGCGGAGCCAGUCCUGAAAGCAAGGCCUCAGUUCAGAUUGCAGUCUGCAACUCGACUGCAUGAAGCCGGAGUUGCUAGUAACCGCAGGUCAGCAAUACUGCGGUGAAUACGUUCCCGGGUCUU